rnacentral:rRNA from 1 species
AUUGAACGCUGGCGGCAGGCCUAACACAUGCAAGUCGAACGAGUGGCGGACGUGUGAGUAAGGUCUGGGAAACGUACUGAUGGAUGGGGUUAACUACUGGAAACUGUAGCUAAUACCGCCUACCUGACGAUGGGCCCAGGUGGGAUUAGCUUGUUGGUGAGGUAAAGGCUCACCAAGACGACGAACCCUACCUGGUCUGAGAGGAUGACCAGCCACACGGGAACUGAGACACGGUCCAGAAUCCUAAGGGAGGCAGCAUUGGGGAAUAUUGGACAAUGGGCGAAAGCCUGAUGCAGCCAUGCCGCGUGUAUGAAGAAGGCCUUCGGGUUGUAAAGUACUUUCAGCGGGGAGGCGUUACCCGCAGAAGAAGCACCGGCUAACUCCGUGCCAGCCGCCGCGGUAAUUC